rnacentral:rRNA from 1 species
AUCCUGCCAGUAGUCAUAUGCUUGUCUCAAAGAUUAAGCCAUGCAUGUCUAAGUAUAAGCGACUUGUACUGUGAAACUGCGAAUGGCUCAUUAAAUCAGUUAUGGUUUCUUUGAUGGUACCUUGCUACUUGGAUACCCGUAGUAAUUCUAGAGCUAAUACAUGCAGGAGUGCCCGACUUCGGAAGGGCUGUAUUUAUUAGAUAAGAAACCUUCUCGGGUUCGCCCGGUUGUGUGCUGAGUCAUAAUAACUGCUCGAAUCGCACGGCUCUACGCCGGCGAUGGUUCAUUCAAAUUUCUGCCCUAUCAGCUUUCGAUGGUAGGAUAGAGGCCUACCAUGGCGUUAACGGGUAACGGAGAAUUAGGGUUCGAUUCCGGAGAGGGAGCCUGAGAAAUGGCUACCACAUCCAAGGAAGGCAGCAGGCGCGUAAAUUGCCCGAAUCCUGACACAGGGAGGUAGUGACAAGAAAUAACAAUACAGGGCUACUUCUAGUCUUGUAAUUGGAAUGAGUACAACUUACAUCUCUUCACGAGGAUCAACUGGAGGGCAAGUCUGGUGCCAGCAGCCGCGGUAAUUCCAGCUCCAGAAGCGUAUAUUAAAGUUGUUGCAGUUAAAACGCUCGUAGUCGGGUUUCGGGUCGGGCCGAGCGGUCUGCCGAUGGGUAUGCACUGUUUGGCGCGGCCUUCUUUCCGGAGACCGCGGCUACUCUUAACUGAGCGGGCGUGGGAGACGGAUCGUUUACUUUGAAAAAAUCAGAGUGUUUCAAGCAGGCAGCUCGCUCUUGCAUGGAUUAGCAUGGGAUAAUGAAAUAGGACUUUGGUGCUAUUUUGUUGGUUUCGAACACCGAAGUAAUGAUUAACAGGGACAGUCAGGGGCACUCGUAUUCCGCCGAGAGAGGUGAAAUUCUCAGACCAGCGGAAGACGAACCACUGCGAAAGCAUUUGCCAGGGAUGUUUUCACUGAUCAAGAACGAAAGUUAGGGGAUCGAAGACGAUCAGAUACCGUCGUA